GAUAAAUAAUUCAUCAGUACUGGCUGUCGAGUGAAAGUUCACGACAUCUUUUUGAAUUUUUUACACAUGCAUGAAUCAUUAAUUUCUCUCUUCACGUCAGCAGAACUCAGGGAAUUUUAAAAAUGUGCACACAGCUUUCUCAUGGAGGGCGAGAGAGAGAGAGAGACAGAGAGGAUGCCGAAGUCUUCCAGUGUGCACGGGCUCCGCAGCUGUUUCAGACUGAGAUGUGCAAGAGGGAAACUAAAAAUAGGACGCACACACCUCUGAGCCAGCUGCCUCUUCACCGCCUGUGGGACUGCCUCUGUGUCUCCCCUCUCUCCUCUUUCACAGUGCCUGUCUCUCCCCCUCCAUCCUUCCCUCCCUCCCUCUCUAUUCUCCCACUUUCUCAGUGAAUCAGCCCUAGUUUCUUUGGCCAGGCUUGCACCAUCACGAACGACCUGAAACAGGACACCACUUCCCCCGUCUGUCCUCCAUUAGGCGCUGUGGCGGAGCCGGUUGCGGAAACUGUCUGCAUCUAACGAGUCUUUCAGUCUUUUUUUUUGUGGGGAUGGACACAGACCUUAAGAGUAAAGAUUCCUUCAUAAAUCCAAAAACAGGUAUAUCAACAUUAUUUGAAAGGCUUUCAAACACAGAAAACACACCAAUGAUGUUUUUUACAUGUCUAUACUAAGACCAAGGCAGCAAAUGUCCCCUCCUGUUUCAGAGAAUUAUUCAGGACGAAAAGAAAAAUUGACAGCAGAAACAGCAACACUAUAUCCACAAGAAGCUUCUCUUGGGAUAAAAGCAGCACUAUGGUCUGUGCAAAUUAAAUGACUGGCUGAGCUUUACGUGAAAGAAUCCUCCCUUAAUCCAAACAUUUGAUAUGUUGUUCUUCAGUGGGUGGAUGGGCAUUGUAGGCUUUAAAGCAGAAUGCAUCCGUGAUGGAUGUAUGAAUGCACUACAUGACAACGUGGCGAAAAUGUUUAGAUACCUGUGAAGCCCGCUGUCACUUGAGAUUUUAUAUGCUGCG
rnacentral:lncRNA from 1 species